GGCCCUAUCGUCUAACGGUUAGGACACAUGCUUUUCAAGCAUGGAACCCGGGUUCGAUUCCCGGUAGGGUCA
rfam:Parcubacteria group bacterium RIFCSPHIGHO2_01_FTLL_56_18 rifcsphigho2_01_scaffold_57994, whole genome shotgun sequence.